UGAAACCAGGUUAGAUACCCUGUUAUACUAGAACUAAAAUAGAAAAGUCUUGAAUAGUAACAAUUAAUUGGUUUGAAAUUCAAAGGGGUUGGCGGUACUUUAGUCCGGCUGGAGGAACCUGCUUCGUAAACGAUAAGCCCCGUAAGAUCUUUCUUGUUCUUAAUAAGAGUUAGUAUACCGUCAUUAUUAGGUAAUUUUACUCAUUAAAGGAAUUACUACAAUUAAAUAAUGUUAAAUAUAUUAGACCAUGGUGCUGCAUAUGGAUAAGUGUUUAGUGGGUUACAAUAGAAUUAAUCUAUGAUGGAUUCAUAGAUGGAAAUUUAUGAUGAAAGCGGAUUCAAUAGUAAGGUAAGUUUAAUAAGCUUGGCUGAGAUUCGGCUCUAAAGUAUGUACAUAUCGGCCGUCGCAA
rnacentral:rRNA from 1 species